rnacentral:rRNA from 1 species
AGAGAGAGACAUGCGCGCAUAUCAAUAAGCGGAGGAAAAGAAACUAACAAGGAUUCCCUUAGUAACGGCGAGUGAAGCGGGAAGAGCUCAAAUUUGAAAUCUUCAAGGUUCUACCUCGACGAAUUGUAGUUUAUAGAAGUGUUUUCUGUUAGUGGAGUGGCAAAAGUUCUUUGGAAUAGGACAUCAUAGAGGGUGAGAAUCCCGUAUUUGGUCAUUCCUCCUAGCGUUGUGAUACACUUUCAACGAGUCGGAUUGUUUGGGAAUGCAGUCCAAAAUGGGUGGUAAAUUUCAUCUAAAGCUAAAUAUUGGCGAGAGACCGAUAGCGAACAAGUACCGUGAGGGAAAGAUGAAAAGAACUUUGAAAAGAGAGUUAAACAGUACGUGAAAUUGUCAAAAGGGAAGCGUUUGACACCAGUGUUGUUUUUCCGAAAAUCAAUUACGAAUGUUUUGUUUCUGAGGAGUGAUGACUUCAUCGGCUUCUCCUUUCUUUACGAAACUUUCUGUAAUGCACUUUUCGGUUAACAAGUCAACAUCAAUUUCUUUUGUUGUAAAAGGGUAUGAGGAAGGUGGCUUUCUUUUCGGAGAAAGUGUUUAUAGCCUUGUGCCUCUGCAAUCGGAGAGAUUGAGGUCUGCAGCGUAGAUCCUUCGGGGUUAGAUACGUUUGUGCUAAGUUAUAGCUUUUCAUAGACAACUUGUUGACUAUGUUUAGUCUUGUAGCUUACUCGCUUACGCUAUUUUACCUACGCUUAGGAUGUUGAUAGUCACAGCGUGUAC